UGCGAAGGGGGCUAGCGUUGCUCGGAAUCACUGGGCGUAAAGGGCGCGUAGGCGGACUCUUAAGUCGGGGGUGAAAGCCCAGGGCUCAACCCUGGAAUUGCCUUCGAUACUGAGAGUCUUGAGUUCGGAAGAGGUUGGUGGAACUGCGAGUGUAGAGGUGAAAUUCGUAGAUAUUCGCAAGAACACCAGUGGCGAAGGCGGCCAACUGGUCCGAUACUGACGCUGAGGCGCGAAAGCGUGGGGAGCAAACAGG
rnacentral:rRNA from 1 species